rnacentral:rRNA from 1 species
CAGUAGCCACGGUAAAACGUAGGUGGCGAGCGUUGUCCGGAAUCAUUGGGCGUAAAGGGAGCGCAGGCGGGCAUGUAAGUCUUUCUUAAAAGUUCGGGGCUCAACCCCGUGAUGGGAAAGAAACUACAUGUCUUGAGUACAGGAGAGGAAAGCGGAAUUCCUAGUGUAGUGGUGAAAUGCGUAGAUAUUGGGAGGAACACCGGCGGCGAAGGCGGCUUACUGGACGACAACUGACGUUGAGGCUCGAAGGCGUGGGUAGCAAACAGGAUUAGAUACCCCUGUAGUCCCUGUCUCUUAUACC